UGGGGAAUAUUGCACAAUGGGGGAAACCCUGAAGCAGCCAUGCCGCGUGUGUGAAGAAGGCCUUCGGGUUGUAAAGCACUUUCAGCGAGGAGGAAAGGUUGAUACCUAAUACGUAUCAGCUGUGACGUUACUCGCAGAAGAAGCACCGGCUAACUCCGUGCCAGCAGCCGCGGUAAUACGGAGGGUGCAAGCGUUAAUCGGAAUUACUGGGCGUAAAGCGCACGCAGGCGGUUGGAUAAGUUAGAUGUGAAAGCCCCGGGCUCAACCUGGGAAUUGCAUUUAAAACUGUCAAGCGAGAGUAUUGUAGAGGGGGGUAGAAUUCCAGGUGUAGCGGUGAAAUGCGUAGAGAUCUGGAGGAAUACCGGUGGCGAAGGCGGCCCCCUGGACAAAGACUGACGCUCAGGUGCGAAAGCGUGGGGAGCAAACA
rnacentral:rRNA from 1 species